UACGGAGGGUGCAAGCGUUAAUCGGAAUUACUGGGCGUAAAGGGUGCGUAGGUGGUUAAUUAAGUUAUCUGUAAAAUCCCCGGGCUCAACCUGGGCAGGUCAGAUAAUACUGGUUAACUCGAGUAUGGGAGAGGGUAGUGGAAUUUCCGGUGUAGCGGUGAAAUGCGUAGAGAUCGGAAGGAACACCAGUGGCGAAGGCGGCUACCUGGCCCAAUACUGACACUGAGGCACGAAAGCGUGGGGAGCAAACAGGAUUAGAUACCCUGGUAGUCCACGCCGUAAACGAUGUCAACUAGCUGUUGGUUAUAUGAAUAUAAUUAGUGGCGAAGCAAACGCGAUAAGUUGACCGCCUGGGGAGUACGGUCGCAAGAUUAAA
rnacentral:rRNA from 1 species